GGCCGUAGCUCAGUGGUUAGAGCACCUGCUUUGCAUGCAGAGGGUCCCAGGUCCAAUCUCCAGGUAGAGUUG